rnacentral:rRNA from 1 species
CUCAGUAACAUGUGGUUAACCUACCCUCAGGACGGGGAUACCCUCGGGAAACUGAGGCUAAUCCCCGAUAGAUGAGGGAUCCUGGAAUGGUUCCUCAUCCAAAAGGCACGCAUAUCAUGCUAUGCGUGUCGCCUGAGGAUGGGACCGCAUCCUAUCAGGUAGUUGGUGGGGUAACGGCCCACCAAGCCUAUAACGGGUACGGGCCCUGAGAGGGGGAGCCCGGAGAUGGGUACUGAGACAAGGACCCAGGCCCUACGGGGCGCAGCAGGCGCGAAGCCUCCGCAAUGCGCGAAAGCGCGACGGGGCCACCCCGAGUGCCAUCCGCUGAGGGUGGCUUUUCCCUAGUGUAGUAAGCUAGGGGAAUAAGCGGGGGGCAAGUCUGGUGUCAGCCGCCGCGGUAAUACCAGCUCCGCGAGUGGUCGGGACGAUUAUUGGGCCUAAAGCGUCCGUAGCCGGCCUAACAAGUCUCUGGUUAAAUCUCAAGGCUUAACCUUGAGAUCGCUGGAGACACUGUUAGGCUAGGGGGCGGGAGAGGUUGAGGGUACUUCGCGGGUAGGGGCGAAAUCCUAUAAUCCGCGAAGGACCACCAGUGGCGAAGGCGCUCAACUGGAACGCGCCCGACGGUGAGGGACGAAAGCUAGGGGAGCAAAGGGGAUUAGAUACCCCCGUAGUCCUAGCUGUAAACGAUGCGGGCUAGGUGUUGGGUUGGCUUCGUGCCAACCCAGUGCCGCAGCGAAGGCGAUAAGCCCGCCGCCUGGGAAGUACGGCCGCAAGGCUGAAACUUAAAGGAAUUGGCGGGGGAGCACCACAAGGGGUGAAGCCUGCGGUUUAAUUGGAGUCAACGCCGGGAAUCUUACCGGGAGCGACAGCAGGAUGAAGGCCAAGCUGACGACUUUGCCAGACAGGCUGAGAGGAGGUGCAUGGCCGUCGCCAGUUCGUGCCGUGAGGUGUCCGGUUAAGUCCGGCAACGAACGAGACCCCCACCCUAUGUUGCUAGGUCCUCUCUACGGAGGGGACCGCACACGUAGGGGACCGCCAGUGUUAAACUGGAGGAAGGAGGGGGCUACGGCAGGUCAGCAUGCCCCGAAUCUCCCGGGCCACACGCGGGCUGCAAUGGCGAGGACAGCGGGUUCCGACCCCGAGAGGGGAAGGCAAUCCCUUAAACCUCGCCGUAGUUGGGAUUGAGGGCUG